rnacentral:rRNA from 1 species
CCUACGGGAGGCAGCAGUGAGGAAUAUUGGUCAAUGGGCGGAAGCCUGAACCAGCCAAGUAGCGUGCAGGAUGACGGCCCUACGGGUUGUAAACUGCUUUUAUACGGGAAUAACGCGCCUUACGUGUAGGGCUUUGCAUGUACCGUAUGAAUAAGGACCGGCUAAUGCGGUGCCAGCAGCUGCGGUAAUAGGGAAGUCCCGGGCGUUAACGGGAUGUAGUGGGGUUAAAGGGAGCGUAGGCCGCAUGUCAAGCUUGCUGUGAAAUGGCCGGGUUCAACCCGGGCCUGGCAGCGCGACCUGGCGUGCUUGAGUCCGCGGAAAGCAGGCGGAAUUCGUCGUGUAGCGGUGAAAUGCUUAGAUAUGACGAAGAACCCCGAUUGCGAAGGCAGCUUGCUGCAGCGGAACUGACGCUGAUGCUCAAAAGCGCGGGUAUCGAACAGGAUUAGAUACCCCGGUAGUC